GGGCUCUUAUUUUCAGCAUGUCUGAGUGUGGAACACAGCAGAUAAAUGCUUCCUGACAUGCAAAGUGCUACAGCAAAAAGCAGUGCACAGCCAUUAUCUCUUACUACUGAAGCAGUGUAGUCUUACAGAGAAGUCAACAAGAGCUGGAAGGGCUUCUAUGUCCACUCAGCAUUCGUGGUGCUUAUGACCUACAAUAGGACUAUUUCUUGUUGUUAGUUUUAUCUGAUGUUUUACCACCUGCAGUUACCCAAUCCUAAAUCGCGUGAUGGUUCAGCCUGCCAUAGUUAUUUGGGAAUCUGAGUGUUUGCAGUUUGAGCAGGACAGGGAGGAAGGAUUGGCAGGAACUUGGAAUUUUCUCUGUGUCUGGGCUGCCAUGAGCUGUAGCACGGUUUGUUUGUGAAACGGCGGCUGCUACUGCUUCACAUUCUUGGCUGAUGAAUCUGGAGUGUUUAUGUGGUCUGGUCCUGCUCUUAUUCUGGGCUCCACGUGAUAUCAUGGCCUGUUUUAAUUUGGCUUCAAGGCCCUCUGAUAGAUGGACCAAUGCAAACACAGUCUUCCCACUGCCUUCCUGUUCCCUAAUGUUGCAGCUGAAAUGAAAGGCGAUAAAGGACCUACCAGGCAUCACACUGAGCCUAUGAGUGUUUCUACACUGGAUUUCUGCCCUUAACAGUACCUCCUUUGGUUAGAAAGACAGAGGUGGUGCACGUGAUAUCCAUGGAGCAAACCCAAAGGAACUGGAUUUUCUCCCCAUUCUUGGACCAGGAUUUCUAAGACAACUUUGUAAAAGAAAGUUCUUGGGAGAUCUCUUCCCUGUGACCUGUCUGUGAGGAAUAAAAGCCCUGCUUUGCAUGUCA